rnacentral:rRNA from 1 species
AGCAGUAGCCGCGGGAAAACGUAGGUGGUGAGCGUUGUCCGGAAUUAUUGGGCGUAAAGGGAGCGCAGGCGGACAUAUAAGUCCAUCUUAAAAGUGCGGGGCUCAACCCCGUGAGGGGAUGGAAACUGUAUGCCUUGAGUGCAGGAGAGGAAAGCGGAAUUCCCAGUGUAGCGGUGAAAUGCGUAGAUAUUGGGAGGAACACCAGUGGCGAAGGCGGCUUUCUGGACUGUAACUGACACUGAGGCGCGAAAGCGUGGGGAGCAAACAGGAUUAGAUACCCCAGUAGUCCCUGUCUCUUAUACA